ensembl:lncRNA
GGACUUCGAUGGUCGGUGAUGGUGAUGAAGUGCUCAGUCGUGAUGAGGUGAAUAAUCCAGCAGAAGUGAAGACAGACGAUCAGGAGCGUAAACAGGCUGAACCGUUUCUUCUGCAGUAUGCCACGUAAUGUCCAAGAGAUUGUCUUGUUGGUCCUGAAAUGAAUGCGACAACCCCUCGCAAAGUGAAAAGCUGAUUGUCCAGCUCCAUGUGGACCGGGAUUUCCGAAAGUGGAUGCUGUCUGGACACUCUUGGGGUGAUUUCAGUGGCUUCAAGCAUUUGGACCUGUUGAGGUGUAGACCAUCUUCCAGCGCUGCUUGGAGGCUCUUCAGUCCACCAGUUUGUAAAAUAUCUACAUUUACUGGUAGGAGAUAGAUGGUCCUAGACGAUUUCGUAUGUCGGCUGCAGUAUGGAGAAGAGCACUCAGCUGUAAGUGUUGCACUUGGCAUUUCUUUCAUUGUGGAAGCGAUAAUGUCUGCAACAUUGCAAUCCGCAUUGACCUGCCUCACACCUGAUUUUAGGUGAACACACUCAAAUGUAUCCAACAGCAUUUUUGCCCUCUUUGCAUAAGCCUCUUUUGCAACUCCUUUUGUCACUAUGGUCUUUACUAAAUCAACCAUGUCAGUUUGCUCUCUGUUGAGAUAAUGACAAAAUGACCCACUGUCGCAGAAUGCAGAGCAAAGGCACUGGCAAAAGGAAUCAAAGGCACAGGUAUUAUUUACACUUACAAGCAUUUUGUCAACCAAGAUGGGCUUAUUAGCCUGGUAGUUGCCAUUUUUCAUGACAUUAAUUCUUGUCUUUUUUCUUUUCAGGUUUAUGUCUGCAUGCAACCACUCAGAGCAAGGGGUCAAGUAGGACAGUCGCUUUUUUGGAUGAACACCGAGGCCUUUCCAGUUUUCAACAGGGUCUUCCUCCACUGACUGUUGCUUAACCUCUGUGUCCUGCUCACUAUGGGCCGUUUUUGUCUUCUGAUUCUUUGUCUCAGUGUGCUCUGUCUUCACCGGUGCAGAGGAAAGCCUCAUGUUUCCCUCAAGAAACUCAAGGUGGCGUAUGACAAAACGGUCAAUUCGGAUGGGGAGACUUUCAUGUUUGAAAAGACCAUGUUUUAUGUUUUUAAAUUCAGCCUCAACAUUUGCAGAGCUUGCUGUGUUGUGUACACUUUUGAAGUGUGGAACCAUCACAGCUGUCCAAAGAGAUCUGUGUGAAGUGUCUCCUCGACUCCAGUCACCUCUGUUAAAUGGUCAUCUUCAGUGACACAUGGCAAGACCCCCUCUGCAAAUCGUCUCUUCAAUUGUGCUUUGCAUGUUUCCGAGACAACAGGUAAACCUUUGUCAUCAUUUCCUUCUGAUUCACUGAAGGCAACAACUGCAAUUGAAUGAAUGAGCUCCCUUGCAUCUUCCAGUGUAUCAGACUGUAAAAGUUGUGCCAUGGCUCGUAGAUAAAAUUCUCUAACUCUGUUUCCUUUUUGUCUUAAGCAUUCCCACCGGCUAAUGAGCUUGAUGCCGUGUGCAACAUCUACUCUGAUGAAGCAAGGUGGCAGCUUUGAUUCUUCAGGCUUUCCUGCCAGCACUCCAAAGCACUGAUUGAUGUAUGUUUUCAAGUCUGGGUAAGGAGUGAAGGCCUUAACCAGUGCUCCAAGCAAAGCCAAGGAGAAAUCACAGACCGCUUCUUUGGGAACCGCAGCACCUGCUCGUUGCCAUUCAGUAAGCCAGUUGGAAAUAGAAUUGAUGGUGUGGCUCUCUGAUAGCAUUUGCACUACUGGAAUAUGAUCUCCCUGUGAACACAAAACUCCUUGAUACAGGAAGACAUGUCCAGAAUUGCCACAGGGUCUUCUCAGUCUUUUCACAACUGUACCUGUUGCAUCAAAACUCAUAAAUGAGCCAGAGUACUUGGAUUUCAUUUGAUACACUUGCAUCUGAGAUGGGGUCCAGUAAUGACAAAAAAACCUAUCAAGGCCUAUGUCAUGAAUGCUUCCAUUGUGGGGUACACUGUAUUUUAGUAGAUGCAAUGACAUGAUUGGGUCUUUGUCUCCAAGCUCUUUGUCACCCAUCUCUUGUUUGGCUUUUCUUAAUGUUGCCAGAUUUGGCAGGUGGCUAGGCUCUGGGUCACCAACAUCCAUCAUUUUGUAAGCCUCAGUUGCUCGCCAUACAUGUGCUGGUUUUCGGCCUUCCCAGAGUUCUUUAGAGACACGUCAUUUAGAGACAAUGUCAUCAACAUUGCGGAUUAUGCAUUGAAGCACAACUGGUUCAUUAUCCACUGGCAUUUUAUCUGCUUUUAUAGACAAUUGUGCGUCACACUCUGUACAGUGCCCAAUUAUGUCUAUGUAGUGAGAUGCAACAUUUGGAAAGAUUUUUGCCCUCCUGAAUCUAAGAGUGCAUGAGGUCUUGAUAUUUUUCCAUAUGUCCUCAUACAGGACGUGUGUCCAUGCACCACGUUUCAGGAUGGUGUAUUCUCUCUUACAUGUGUUUAGUGAUUUGUCAUUGUAAUCAACUUUUUCAGGCCAGAUUUCUAGCCAUUUCUGAUGAGAGAGACUGAUCUCAAAUGUAAUGUUGUAGCAUUGACUUUGCUGAUUUGUGUCUGCUGAAUGAAAAUCUGCUGAGCUUUCUUGUGAGCUGUCACAGUUUGUACCUUGAUCUUGGGUGUCUGUGUCGAUUUUGCAUAGAUCAAGGAUUUGCCAUAUAUUGUGCCUGUUUGUCUUCACAAUAGUAUAAAGGUUCUUUGGUGAAACUUUGUUAUUUAGUUGUUUGCUUAAAUCUGUCCACACCUUUUCUGUGGGAAAUGCGAUGUUUGUUCCUUUAAUAAUCUGUUCCUUUGCAGCACUGAUGACUUUGAUGAUGUCAUCACGGCCACAGACUGGUUUCCUAGGCAUCUGAUCAAAACAGGAAUUAUUUUUAUUAAUGUAGUUUUUAAUAAAGUAGUUGGGCCAAAUUAACUAUAUAUUUUAUUUCUUUAAUGGAAUCGAGAGGUUGGGCAAAAUGACAGGGGGACAUGCUUAGUUGUCAUUCACUUAAACUGCACUUUUUUUUAAAUCAGCUCAAGUAAAUGAUGGCUGAAAUAAAAGCAGGUGGGCA